CAUGCACGCGCCCUGCCAAAAGCAAUAGGCCACAGUAGAAGAGACAGAAAGGAAAAAUGGCUGGCAUCAAUAAGAAAGAAUUCGAAGAACUACAAGUUGAUGGAAGUAACUAUCUAUCAUGGGCCAUGGAUAUGAAAAUAAAUUUGACUGGACGUAACCUUGGCCCUUGCAUUGCCACACCCCCGAAAAUGCUCCGUAAAUACCACAAGUGGUAAAGUAUGUGGCAUUGCAUUUCAUAAGGCACCACCUCCAUCCUGAUUUAAAAACUGAAUAUCUGAUGGAAGAGGACCCACUAGCUUUAUGGAACUCCCUAAAGGAGAUAUGACCAACAAAGAGCAGUAAUGUUGCCAGAAGCCCAGAGAGAAUGGUCUCUCAUAAGGUUCCAGGACUUUAAGUCUGUGGCUGCAUACAAUUCUGCAGUGCAUAAGAUUAAUUCCAAACUGAGAUUUUGCAAUAAGCAAGCUUCAGACGAGGACUUAAUAGAGAAAACCUUAUGCACUUUCCACCCCUCGAUGAGGAUAUUGCAACAGCAAUAUCGUCAACAAAAAUACAAAAAGUAUUCUGAGCUUAUAUACACAUUACUUCAGGCUGAGAAGCAUGAUGAACUUCUCAUGGAAAAUCACAAUGCUCGCCCAACGGGCGUCAUGCCAAUCCCUGAAGCACAUGCUAAUGCUCAUUUUACUAGUAAAUUUGGAAACCGUAAACGGAACUUCCGAAAAUUCAAGGGAAAGUGGAAACCGAACAAUGGUCAAAAGACCAACGGUCCAUCUAAGGGAAAUGGUCAAUUUAAUAAAAAUAACCAAAAUGACAACUCUCAAACUUGUCAAAUGUGUGGAUGUACGAAUCAUCGUACUAAUGAAUGCAGUAUGCCCGACCACCUCGUGGAACUAUACAUGAAGUAUGGCAAAGAAGUCAAACAAGUUCAUGGAAACAAAGCUGAAGCUCACUUCAACGACAUACAAGACAACUCUCAAGUUGGUCCAUCUCAAAGUUCUAUUGAAGAAUUCGAGCCAAAAGACGAUAAAACACUUGAUGUCAUUUAGCCAUUAAAUUACUACAAACUGUUAUAUUGUAUAACAAUACGUAGAAUAAAGUCUAUCAGACUAUGUAGAAUAAAAGUCUAUCAGACCAUGUAUAUUGUAUUAUGUGAAUCAGACAUAAUAUUGCAAUGUAUUUAUAUUUGAUAUUUGUAACAUAAAUACUAUGUUGGUGAAUAUAUGAGUAAAAAUAUAUUCUAUACAUUCAAUUCUAUUUACGGGAAACAAUCCGAUGAAAAAAAAAUCCUAUUUAAGUGAGUGGUACCACCACUUCUAUCAUUUUUAAGGGAAACGAAACAUUUCCAAACUCUUACUAAGAGUAAGGACGAUGUUAUGACCGUAAAUAGGCAUAACACAACAAUUAUUGGUUCCUAAAGAACCAUAUUCAUACUCCCUAUAGGUACUAUUAUUGUAGAUCAGAAUGCACUCUUGUGUCCUGAUUAUACCUUCAUUCGGAUUAUGUUAUACAUACAUAAAACCCGUACCUUAUGUUACAAGAUAAUUUUCAAAA